GAUCAGAUCGAUGUUCCUUAUUGUAACAUUACAGGGUCCUUUUUGUAACAUUUCAUGUUACAAAAAGAACAACAUAUGUCCCUUUUGUAACAUAGUAUCCUUUCUGUAACACCGGUCAUUCCUUUCUGUAACAUCAGACAUUACUUUUUGUAACAUUGAGUCCUUUUGGUAACAAUGGUUGUUCCCUUUUGUAACAUAAGCAUCCUUUUUGUAACAUUUGUUCUUCCUUUUUGUAACUUAAGCGUCCUUUUUGUAACAUUGUAGAUCUUCUUUUUGUAACAUAAGUGUCCUUU